rnacentral:rRNA from 1 species
AGAGGGAUAACCAUUGGAAACGAUGGCUAAUACCUCGUAUUGCUGAGAAGUGAAAGAUGAAAAUCGCCAAUAGAUGGGCUUGCGGCUGAUUAGCUUGUUGGUGAGGUAAUGGCUUACCAAGGCAAUGAUCAGUAGCUGGUCUGAGAGGAUGAUCAGCCACACUGGGACUGAGACACGGCCCAGACUCCUACGGGAGGCAGCAGUGAGGAAUUUUCCGCAAUGGGCGACAGCCUGACGGAGCAAUGCCGCGUGAAGGAUGAAGGCCUAUGGGUUGUAAACUUCUUUUCUCAGAGAAGAAGCAUUGACGGUAUCUGAGGAAUAAGCAUCGGCUAACUCUGUGCCAGCAGCCGCGGUAAGACAGAGGAUGCAAGCGUUAUCCGGAAUGAUUGGGCGUAAAGCGUCUGUAGGUGGCUUAAAAAGUCUCCUGUCAAAGAUCAGGGCUUAACCCUGGGCCGGCAGGAGAAACUCUUAGGCUAGAGUUUGGUAGGGGCAGAGGGAAUUCCCGGUGGAGCGGUGAAAUGCGUAGAGAUCGGGAGGAACACCAAAGGCGAAAGCACUCUGCUGGGCCAUAACUGACAUAGA